rnacentral:rRNA from 1 species
GGAAGAAGGUCUUCGGAUUGUAAACUCCUGUUGUUGGGGAAGAUAAUGACGGUACCCAACAAGGAAGUGACGGCUAACUACGUGCCAGCAGCCGCGGUAAAACGUAGGUCACAAGCGUUGUCCGGAAUUACUGGGUGUAAAGGGAGCGCAGGCGAGAAGACAAGUUGGAAGUGAAAUCUAUGGGCUCAACCCAUAAACUGCUUUCCAAACUGUUUUUCUUGAGUAGUGCAGAGGUAGGCGGAAUUCCCGGUGUAGCGGUGGAAUGCGUAGAUAUCGGGAGGAACACCAG